UCCAACGUUUAACCGUUCGUCUUAUUUAAAAAAAUUAUGAAAAAAAUUAAAAAGACAAGUCAUAUAUAAAGUAUUGAUCAUGUUUUAUCAUUUAACAAUAAUAAAAAUACUAAUUAUAAAAAAAUUUCAUAUAAGACGGACAGUCAAACGUUGGACACGGAAACCCAGG
rnacentral:pre_miRNA from 1 species